GGUUUUAGGGGUCUUCAUUCUUUUAAUCUGGCACUUCUUGCAAAACAAUGUUGGAGAAUGAUAAAUAACCCUGAUUCGGUUUGUGCUCGGAUUUUGAAGGCAAAGUAUUUUCCAAACACUGAUUUGUUACAUGCAGGGCCAAAGAAGGGUUCUUCCUUUACAUGGCAGAGCAUUGUGGCUGGACUUACUACUUUUAAGAGGGGGUAUAUAUGGCGCAUUGGAUCAGGAGAAGAGGUGAACAUCUGGAAUGACCCAUGGAUUCCCUCGAGUCUGGACAGAAAGGUAAUAACACCCCGAGGCCACACAUUUCUUGUUAAAGUUGUGGAAUUAAUAGAUCCAGUGACUAGUCAGUGGGACGAGCAGUUAAUCCAACAAAUUUUCUACCCGGUGGAUGCAAAUAGAAUUCUUCAAAUACCACUCAACUUUUAG
rnacentral:rRNA from 1 species